GUCCUUAUGUUAUAUGUAUAUAAGGUUGGACCUGCCCAAUGAGUAUUUAAUGGCUGCGGUAUCCUGACCGUGCAAAGGUAGCAUAAUCAUUAGUCUUUUAAUUGGAGGCUGGAAUGAAUGGUUUGACGAGAGAUGCGCUGUCUAUUUAUGAAAUAUUGAAUUUUAUUUUUUAGUUAAAAAGCUAAAAUGAUAAUAAGGGACGAUAAGACCCUAUAGAGUUUAUAUGAGAGUCAAUUAAAAUUUAUUGGGUUGGUAUAAAAUAAAAUUUUAAUUGAUUUUUAUAUUUUGUUGGGGAGAUAAGAGAAAAUUUAAAACUUCUUUUUUGAUUGACUUGAAUAAUAGGAAUAAAUUUAUGAUCUUGUAGUAUAAAUUGGAAGAAUAAAUUACCUUAGGGAUAACAGCGUUAUUUUAUUUGAGAGUUCGAAUCGAUGAUAAAGUUUGCGACCUCGAUGUUGGAUUAAGAUUACUAUUAGGUGUAGAAGUUUAAUUAGGUAGGUCUGUUCGACCUUUAAAAUCUUACA
rnacentral:rRNA from 1 species